CAGGCAGCGAGAAAACUCGGGUGCCCCCAGUAAGUCUGGAAAAUCCCUAGGUUUCCUGAAAGGGAGCCCAGGAGAUGUGUAAAUGGAUCGUCUCAAAGGUAAAUAAAUGUAAGGGAGACGCAUCAAAGAAUAUUAAAUAGUGGGAAGGUCGUGAGUCAGGAAACCUCAGGUGUGAGUCUCACCAGCUUUGGGUGAUAUACUCGCCUUCUCCUGCCUUUGUAAAGUGCUUAGCUAAGUGACUGGCACGUACCAGGUGUUUGAUAAAUGACCGUUCCCUUCCUUCCCUUUUCCCAUUUGAAAAAUAGAGAAAAGAAACUCUUGCACACCUGGCCUCUCAGGAAUGAGAAUGGAAAUCGGUGCUUUGCCCUGUUCUCCAAGGAGCAGGGAGAUGAUCAGGCUCUAAUGGACCCAAAAAAGACGAUCCAAAAAGGAGCAAUCACGUCAUUCCCUGGAUCCACAGUGGUUGUAAGAAAAGUGAUUUGGAACUGGUGCCAAGGAAAUGUGACCUACUAAUAAAAGAAAACCAUUGGUGAUUUCUUUGAGACUGGUGAUCUUCGAUGAUGAUGAUGAUGACUUAAGAUGUGUC
rnacentral:lncRNA from 1 species